UUUUUAUGAUGUUCCUUCAUGGAAUUCAGGUUCCCCGUUCCAGACCAGCUGCACGCCUGGAAGGCAACAGCUGCAUGUAAAGCUAAGUAUCAGAAAGACACACAAUAAAUGCAUAUGGUGCAAAACAAACUUUAUGAAGAAUUACUCACAAAUGAUUAAAAUUCAUGAUUUCUAGGGCUGUCAUAUGGGGAGCUGAGAGAGAAAAGGUAAACAAAGUAGGGAGCGAUGAUGCUGCCCACUCGGGAAGCCAUGGAGGUGACCCCCACUGCCAUAUUCCUGACCAGGGUUGGAUAGAGCUCUGCAGUGAAGACAUACAGCAUGGAGAAAGCGGAAGUGAUCCCA